UGGAAACUNUCUGACUUGAGUGCAGAAGGGGAGAGUGGAAUUCCAUGUGUAGCGGUGAAAUGCGUAGAUAUAUGGAGGAACACCAGUGGCGAAAGCGGCUCUCUGNUCUGUCACUGACGCUGAGGCUCGAAAGCGUGGGUAGCGAACAGGAUUAGAUACCCUGGUAGUCCACGCCGUAAACGAUGAGUGCUAGGUGUUAGGCCCUUUCCGGGGCUUAGUGCCGGAGCUAACGCAAUAAGCACUCCGCCUGGGGUGUACGACCGCAAGGUUGAAACUCAAAGGAAUUGACAGGGGCCCGCACAAGCGGUGGAGCAUGUGGUUUAAUUCGAAGCAACGCGAAGAACCUUACCAGGUCUUGACAUCCCGAUGCUAUUCUUAGAGAUAGGAAGUUACUUCGGUACAUCGGAGACAGGUGGUGCAUGGUUGUCGUCAGCUCGUGUCGGGAGAUGUUGGGUUAAGUCCCGCAACGAGCGCAACCCUUAUUGUUAGUUGCCAUCAUUAAGUUGGGCACUCUAGCGAGACUGCCGGUAAUAAACCGGAGGAAGGUGGGGAUGACGUCAAAUCAUCAUGCCCCUUAUGACCUGGGCUACACACGUGCUACAAUGGUCGGUACAACGAGUUGCGAGCCGGUGACGGCAAGCUAAUCUCUGAAAGCCGAUCUCAGUUCGGAUUGGAGGCUGCAACUCGCCUCCAUGAAGUCGGAAUCGCUAGUAAUCGCGGAUCAGCACGCCGCGGUGAAUACGUUCCCGGGCCUUGUACACACCG
rnacentral:rRNA from 1 species